AGUAACACGUGGAUAACCUACCUAUAAGACUGGGAUAACUACGGGAAACCGGAGCUAAUACCGGAUAAUAUAUUGAACCGCAUGGUUCAAAAGUGAAAGACGGUCUUGCUGUCACUUAUAGAUGGAUCCGCGCUGCAUUAGCUAGUUGGUAAGGUAACGGCUUACCAAGGCAACGAUGCAUAGCCGACCUGAGAGGGUGAUCGGCCACACUGGAACUGAGACACGGUCCAG
rnacentral:rRNA from 1 species